rnacentral:rRNA from 1 species
UAGGGAAUCUUCCACAAUGGACGAAAGUCUGAUGGAGCAACGCCGCGUGAGUGAUGAAGGGUUUCGGCUCGUAAAACUCUGUUGUUGGAGAAGAACGGGUGUCAGAGUAACUGUUGACAUCGUGACGGUAUCCAACCAGAAAGCCACGGCUAACUACGUGCCAGCAGCCGCGGUAAUACGUAGGUGGCAAGCGUUGUCCGGAUUUAUUGGGCGUAAAGCGAGCGCAGGCGGUUUUUUAGGUCUGAUGUGAAAGCCUUCGGCUUAACCGGAGAAGUGCAUCGGAAACCGGGAGACUUGAGUGCAGAAGAGGACAGUGGAACUCCAUGUGUAGCGGUGAAAAUGCGUAGAUAUAUGGAAGAACACCAGUGGCGAAGGCGGCUGUCUGGUCUGCAACUGACGCUGAGGCUCGAAAGCAUGGGUAGCGAACAGGAUUAGAUACCCUGGUAGUCCAUGCCGUAAAACGAUGAGUGCUAAGUGUUGGAGGGUUUCCGCCCUUCAGUGCUGCAGCUAAACG